UCGCCUGCGCACACUUGUGACAAUAUAAUCAAAUGUCUGAACGGAUACACUACAGUUAUAUUUUUCACUACGUGUUUGCAAAAAAUAUACUUUAAGUGACAUUUUUACAGUGAAAGUGCGCGGGUGUUAGUCACAGAUUCAAAAUUUGCUAUUUGAAAAUCGAACAUUUAUGUUUCAUGUGGUGGUUGUGGAAUUAAAUGAAAAUCUUUUGAAAAUUUUUUAAAUUCUCAUUUCGAAAUAGAUUAUAGAACUGUGAUAUUUAUGGGUGUAAUGGCUUUUCACGUUUUGUGGUUCUUUUUAUUUUUAAUCGCGAUGAUACGUGCACAGGAUUGUCGGACGAGUGGACAAAGGUGCGGUGUACACGAGCAAUGUUGCGGUGGAUGUUGCUAUGAAGGACACUGCAUUGAUACGUAUCGCUCGUGUCUCCAAUCUUUCAACGUGUGCCGUGACCAUGUCUGCAUCGGUAAAGAGAAUUGCGUGGAGUUCCGACCGCCAGGCUGUCUUCGAUGCGAACCAAUGCCGAUUUGUCGACUGUAGCUUUAGGGAUUGUGUUUAUGAAAAUGCAAGCUAUAAGACAAAGACACUUGCAUGGAUUGUUAAAUUGUUUUUACGUUUAAUUGCAAUUAAUUAUAGUCAGAAACAAUAAAUAUGGAAUGUUCAUUCCUUUGUUAUGCGAUACGUUUUAUUAACACGCUUUUAUUAGCUUCACCUAUAUGUUUGUAUAUAACCGACUCUUUUAGAUUUGAUUUUGAAUCACUUCAAAUGGAAAGCGAUCGGUGAUAAUACAAUACUUUUUAUGAGUUUGUUUUCUUAUGUUGAUUCUGCGAUUAUAUAGCCAGGAUGAAAUAAUUUAACUCUAUCAUUAAUUCAUUCGUUUUUUUAAACUGUAUUUAAUAUCGUAUUUUAUAUUUCUGCACUCUCAAUGGAUAUAAAGGUUUAUUUAAAACGGAGUGUAGUUUUGUAAACAUAGUUAAACAGAGUGAAAAUUUCUAUUUAAACUUCCGAGCAGCCGCUCCAAGUUUGCCUUUUAGACGAAAGUUUAGCAGCAUUUGUAAACGAUCUUAUAUUUUACUUCUCUAACUAGUUUCUAUUGUUUGCAAUUAAUGCAAAAUAUUUUUCACCAUUUUAGAAGUUAAAAAUGAAAAUUAUACCAUUAGCAUAACUUUUCUGCAGAUCAUAAUUAUUAAACGUAAUUAGAUAUCUAUAUAAAUAAUUAGUAUAGGCCUUUGAUGCCUAUUCUGAUCCAUUUAGGACAUAUUUUUUACAUGUUGGUGUCGCUAUCGUUACUAAACCUCAAAAUGAUGGAACUAUAUAACUAGAAUUGUUUAAACUCAUGAAUCACUUAUAUAUUUAUGUACGAGUAUAGUAAUUACCCACACACAGAGUAAGUAUCCUAUUUUGGGACUUAAAAAUAUGUAUUAUACAAGAACCAGCCAUGUGUAAGAGGAGUAUAAUUUAUACGAAUCGAAUUUGUUUUUUAUUUACUGACUGCCUGUACUGAAGCAUUUCUUACAAAAUUAAAUUAAAUGAAACACAAAGUCAAGGAAUCUAUAACUAUAUU